UCCCUCAUCUCCCUAUGUCGUCACGUGCUACACGGCUUCGACUCACAGAAGUCGCCCCUCAGCGGUGCCGAUUGCGUGCGGCAGGUCUUCCUGCCUCUCCUCCUCACGAGACGAUGAAAACGGACACUGCUUCGGUGCACUGCACACGAGCAAGCUUCGCACAGUUCGCACGCCAACGGUGCGCAGACUCACCGUGGGAGCUCCGAUCGAAGCGCGACCCUUUGGGGGCACCUGUGGAAUGGCUGGAGGCGACAUACAAUGUGUGUAGCUCAUUUGAGGGGUCCGCAAGCGCGGUCCUCAUCACAGUGUGUGUCCUUUUCAACGCCGACUUCGCUGUCCCACAGUUGGGCUUCUACAACUCUACCGUCACGAGCCUCGAGGGUCUGCGGAUGGCGGUGCCGAAUCUGACGUUUGUAAACGCACCGUCGACUGUGGAACCGGCCGAUGUGGCGGGGGCGUUGCGUCGACCGCUCGUGAGCUUCUCAUGGAACCAGGAGCUGGGUCAGUACAUGUGGCUUGUACACCCCUGCGACACAGAAAACCUGCUACUUUGCAGACGAUACGACGGUGAACAAGGCGACAUACUCAGCGUCUUUCUGCGCGCCAUGUCCGACUACUUCCCUUUUGCGCCGCUGCUUGUACCGCGUGCGGGCGGCAAUUUCGAUACAGCACGUACAUGACGAACCACAAAGCAAAAAAUUACAUGAACUGACCGCGUGAGGCAAUUUCGUUGUUCUUUUCGAUGAGCGCACUACACCUUCCCGCAGCUGAGUCGUACCCAACGCUGCCUGUCAAGGCUAGCCGGCGUUUUCACCGAUUUCGCCACUUGCAGCGGAGGUGGUUGCUUCGCGCCACCUUUUGAACCUCUGCGAAUCAAGUAGUGUUUUUCACUCUCUGUGACCCCCUUCCGGUGACCGUUGCUGCUUCUGGUGCCGAGCUCCUCCAGUCUCCCUCCUUCUCCUGCGUGCGCCUCAUUGCUCUUUUCGUCCCUCUUUUUUUGUUGCUCCCCUGCUUGAUCACUUCUCACCCCCGUUGGGUGACUGCGACACAACCACGCGCACCACCAG
rnacentral:misc_RNA from 1 species